AGCGAACGCUGGCGGCAGGCUUAACACAUGCAAGUCGAGCGCCCCGCAAGGGGAGCGGCAGACGGGAGAGUAACACGUGGGAACGUGCCCUUUAGUUCGGAACAACCCAGGGAAACUAGGGCUAAUACCGAAUACGCCCUUACGGGGAAAGAUUUAUCGCUAAAGGAUCGGCCCGCGUCUGAUUAGCUUGUUGGUGAGGUAAUGGCUCACCAAGGCGACGAUCAGUAGCUGGUCUGAGAGGAUGAUCAGCCUCACUGGGACUGAGACACGGCCCAGACUCCUACGGGAGGCAGCAGUGGGGAAUAUUGGACAAUGGGGGCAACCCUGAUCCAGCCAUGCCGCGUGAGUGAUGAAGGCCUUAGGGUUGUAGAGCUCUUUCGCCGGUGAAGAUAAUGACGGUAACCGGAGAAGAAGCCCCGGCUAACUUCGUGCCAGCCGCCGCUGUAAUAC
rnacentral:rRNA from 1 species